UGGGGAAUCUUGCGCAAUGGGCGAAAGCCUGACGCAGCGACGCCGCGUGGGGGAGGAAGCUCUUCGGAGUGUAAACCCCUGUCAGGAGGGAAGAACGGGCGCUUGAGGAAAUGCAGGCGUUUUGACGGUACCUCCAAAGGAAGCACCGGCUAACUCUGUGCCAGCAGCCGCGGUAAUACAGAGGGUGCGAGCGUUGUUCGGAAUUACUGGGCGUAAAGCGCGCGCAGGCGGUCCUUUAAGUCUACCCGUGAAAUGCCGGAGCUCAACUCCGUGCACGCCGGGGGAUACUGGAGGACUGGAGACGAGUAGAGGCAAGCGGAAUUCCGGGUGUAGCGGUGGAAUGCGUAGAGAUCCGGAAGAACACCGGAGGCGAAGGCGGCUUGCUGGGCUUGGUCUGACGCUGAGGCGCGAAAGCGUGGGGAGCGAACAGG
rnacentral:rRNA from 1 species